CCUACGGGUGGCAGCAGUAGGGAAUUUUCGUCAAUGGGCGCAAGCCUGAACGAGCGAUGCCGCGUGAGUGAAGAAGGCCUUCGGGUCGUAAAGCUCUGUUGCGGGGGAAAAAAGGCAGCAUCAGGAAAUGGGUGCUGACUGAUGGUGCCCCGCCAGAAAGUCACGGCUAACUACGUGCCAGCAGCCGCGGUAAUACGGAGGAUGCGAGCGUUAUCCGGAUUUAUUGGGUUUAAAGGGUGCGUAGGCGGAAGGUUAAGUCAGCGGUCAAAUGUCGGUGCUCAACACCGGCCUGCCGUUGAAACUGGUCUUCUUGAGUGAGCGAGAAGUAUGCGGAAUGCGUGGUGUAGCGGUGAAAUGCAUAGAUAUCACGCAGAACUCCGAUUGCGAAGGCAGCAUACCGGCGCUCAACUGACGCUGAGGCACGAAAGCGUGGGGAUCGAACAGGAUUAGAUACCCUUGUAGUC
rnacentral:rRNA from 1 species